UAAGGGGAUCUUUUGGCACCUCUAAAAAUGGUGCAGAAUAGGGGGUGGGCAAGCCUGGUGUCAGCCGCCGCGGUAAUACCAGCACCCCGAGUGGUCGGGACGAUUAUUGGGCCUAAAGCAUCCGUAGCCGGUCAUGCAAGUCUUCCGUUAAAUCCAGCCGCUCAACGGUUGGGCUGCGGAGGAUACUACGUGGCUAGGAGGCGGGAGAGGCAAGCGGUACUCAGUGGGUAGGGGUAAAAUCCUUUGAUCCAUUGAAGACCACCAGUGGCGAAGGCGGCUUGCCAGAACGCGCUCGACGGUGAGGGAUGAAAGCUGGGGGAGCAAACCGGAUUAGAUACCCGGGUAGUCCCAGCUGUAAACGAUGCAGACUCGGUGAUGGGAUGGCCUCGAGCUAUCCCAGUGCCGCAGGGAAGCCGUUAAGUCUGCCGCCUGGGGAGUACGGUCGCAAGACUGAAACUUAAAGGAAUUGGCGGG
rnacentral:rRNA from 1 species